rnacentral:piRNA from 1 species
UGGGAUAUCCUUAGUGUUGAUACAACACCUC